ACAAUGUAAAGUGUCUUAUACAUCUUAUCGCUUUUCCAUGCAGUCUCCCCUACUGCAAAGGAUGACAGCUGAUGACGUCCAAUCUCAUUAAAACUCCAAAAUUCAUUAAGCUGCUGAUGACAAAAGAAAUCAAAGGUCUGUGGAAUUCAAGAUUCUUCUGAGAGCUGAACAAGCCCAAAGCCACAGAGAAGUGGUUCUAUCCUCAAGAAAAUUGUUGUAAGGAUUGUUAAAAGGAAGAGGUCACUCACCACUUCUGGAAUCUGACUCCAUGCAGAAAAUAAACAACUGAACCCUAAGCCAUGCAAAUACACAGGAAAAAGGACCCUUCGUAAUAAAGACUUCACAACACAAGAUGCAGUGUAAGUACAGGACUGCACAUAAGCUCUGAGUCUCCUCUCUGCCCACAGUGCUUUGCCAUUAAUAGGUGGGUUUCUGAACAUAUUGCUGAUUUUAGGUGUCUUUCUUUACUGCUUCAGAUGCCUUCUGGUUUGGAUCCCAUUCAGCAGUAUUCAAGCAGGAGCGGUAUGUGCAGCUCUCUGCUGGCUGUUCAGGGGAAAGAUGAGAGAGUUAUUCCCAGA
rnacentral:lncRNA from 1 species